GGUACCUCAGGUUAAAGAGAGAGCCUACAAGAAGAGAAAGAAAACCUGGGUGAGAACUGGAUGGGUACAGGUGAGCGAGGCUCUCCUUGCACCUAUCACUGGGAACCACCUUUCUGUCCAGGAGCUCAGGAUGACCCAGGCCACCCAGUGACCUUUCCUGCCUCUCCUGCCUCAAUGCACAAACAGAUGAGGAAACUGUGGCUUUGAAUCUAAGAAAACGGCAUUGACUCUGUCUUCUGCUGAAAGAACUUAACUAAGCAGGAUUGCUGCAGAUUCAAAGGAAUGGUCUCCAAGUACCCAGCCCAUGGCCAGGCUUAGAAAAGUACCAUGGUCAUUAUUACUCCACAAUGCCAGGGCAGCCACAGAAGGGUGACAGGACUAAUGUCCAAGGGACAAGUAAACUUUCAGUGCCAACAGUCCCAACCUACAGUCACUGGGCACAAGUUCUUGGCAGGGCAGGGGCUAUCAGGUCAGGCCCAUGAUGCAAUCACAGCUCUCUGUCUAUGCUAAAAGGUGAACCAUGACCUUCAGGAAAUUGCAAAAACAGUCCAUAAAGAAGGAGUAUGAAA